rnacentral:rRNA from 1 species
GAUGAACGCUGGCGGCGUGCCUAACACAUGCAAGUCGAACGGAGAUUACGGACGGAAGUUUUCGGAUGGAAGCCUGUAAUUCUUAGUGGCGGACGGGUGAGUAACGCGUGGGCAACCUGCCCUAUACAGGGGGAUAGCAGCUGGAAACGGCUGGUAAGACCGCAUAAGUCGGUUAAAUCGCAUGAUUUGAUCGGGAAAUGAGCAAUCAGGUAUAGGAUGGGCCCGCGUCCGAUUAGCCAGUUGGCAGGGUAAAAGCCUACAAAAGCGACGAUCGGUAGCCGGACUGAGAGGUCGGACGGCCACAUUGGGACUGAGACACGGCCCAAACUCCUACGGGAGGCAGCAGUGGGGGAUAUUGCACAAUGGAGGAAACUCUGAUGCAGCGACGCCGCGUGAGUGAAGAAGUAUUUCGGUAUGUAAAGCUCUAUCAGCAGGGAAGAUGAUGACGGUACCUGACGAAGAAGCCCCGGCUAACUACGUG